GCCAAUGACAGGCGGGCCAGGGUCACAUGCAAAAGGACACGCCCGGACGAGGAGGAGACAAAGAGCGUCCGCUCGGGUCCGUUUCAGACGCAAAUCCAGCCCAACUUUGCUUCCGGGAUGGGGUGAGACGGACCAGAAACGGACACUUUUUACAGAUAGGGUAGCACGCUGGGUCGUCUCAUUUAUCCGUGUAAUCUCAAACGGACAGACCCGGACGUUUUGGAGUCGCGCGGUGGAGAUGGCCUUACCAUCCGUCAUCCGUUUCCAUCCGUAAAUUAUGGACUUUUCUGGAAUGAAGACGCAUCAUCUUCUCCACCAUCCUCCCACUUUAUUUUCUCAAUGACGCCCCCUCCUCUUCGUAUUCUCCAUAUAGUUCCACUCACCCAAACAAAUAACCCCCUUCAUCAUCAGCCGUGGCAAAGCUACCAUACACAUCUCGCUCUGAGCAGUCAUGGUGCUGUGCCGCUGCUAGCCCAGCGUUCGUGGGGGGUCGCCGCCUAAGACGUGCAUGUUGCUGCCGACCCAGGGCCCUCCGAUCACCGUAAUUGAUUUGAGCCCGCAAUCUGUUGCCGAUGAAUCAAUCCCCGCGGACACCGCUGGCCCAAUCCUCGUGCCCCGGUGUCGACCAUAGCUCCAGGCAAGCCACACGUCUCACUGCUGUCGUCCUCCGCCAACAUCUCCUGCACCAAAAGGUCGGUGCUCUCCUUCUCUAUCUCCCCAAAUCUAAGCGAUCUCAGGUUUAUUUGGAUUGGAACUUUGAAGCUCUGAUUUAUAUGUGGAGGAAGCAUCUUUUAGAAGCGAGAUCUGUUCUGUUUCCAGCCGCCUCAUCCGUGCAACAGUCCGGUCAGUCUUUCUAAUCCACAAUCCUCUCUAAUUCAAGCAUUCCCGGCAAGCAUGAAACAACCAUCUCAGUCCCCUCUUCGUUUUAUUUUAUUUAUUUAUUGUUUGAAGGAAUAAACAGAUGGAACAACGUUGAUUUAAAGCGAUGGAUCGUAGUCAUCUCUCUUCGUUUUGUUUUAUGUAAGGCGCUGAUUGGACGGAAUAAAAAGGCAGUUAUUUUUUUGCCGGGAUGCACUUGAAGCUGAAUUAUGUGCAUGCAUGGAAGGUUUAUCUUUCUCCAUCCAGAGAAGUGAGUUACCAGUGCAGAUCGACAUGGAUUCUAUAAUUGCAGUGAAAUUGAUCCAGGCUUCAGAGGUUGACAGAUCGGUAUAUUCGUCUAUCAUCAAGGAGAUUAGAUAUCUUAUGUCUCUACGUGAAAAUUGUAUUACUCAUGUAAGUCGUAGCCAAAAUAAAGUUAGUGAUAGCUUAGCUAAAUUUGCUCGUAGUGAGGGUAGAACCAUGACUUGGCUAGGUUCUGGUCCUCCUGAGGCUUUGGAACUAGCUGCGAUUGAUUGUAAGGACUUUGGUGGAUGAGUAAUACAAAUUUCUACCCGCAAAAAAAAUAUAUACUCUUUGGUCAUUUUCAGGUA